rnacentral:rRNA from 1 species
UACGUAGGGGGCGAGCGUUGUCCGGAUUCAUUGGGCGUAAAGAGCUCGUAGGCGGCUUGUCAAGUCGGGUGUGAAAACUCCAGGCUCAACCUGGAGACGCCACUCGAGACUGUCAUGGCUAGAGUCCGGUAGGGGAUCACGGAAUUCCAGGUGUAGCGGUGAAAUGCGUAGAUAUCUGGAGGAACACCGGUGGCGAAGGCGGCAUCCUGGACCGAGACUGACACUGAGGAGCGAAAGCCAGGGGAGCAAACGGG